rnacentral:rRNA from 1 species
CCUACGGGUGGCAGCAGUGAGGAAUAUUGGUCAAUGGACGAGAGUCUGAACCAGCCAAGUAGCGUGAAGGAUGACUGCCCUAUGGGUUGUAAACUUCUUUUAUAUGGGAAUAAAAUGUUCCACGUGUGGGAUUUUGUAUGUACCAUAUGAAUAAGGAUCGGCUAACUCCGUGCCAGCAGCCGCGGUAAUACGGAGGAUCCGGGCGUUAUCCGGAUUUAUUGGGUUUAAAGGGAGCGUAGGUGGAUUGUUAAGUCAGUUGUGAAAGUUUGCGGCUCAACCGGAAAAUUGCAGUUGAAACUGGCAGUCUUGAGUACAGUAGAGGUGAGCGGAAUUCGUGGUGUAGCGGUGAAAUGCUUAGAUAUCACGAAGAACUCCGAUUGCGAAGGCAGCUCACUGGACUGCAACUGACACUGAGGCUCGAAAGUGUGGGUAGCAAACAGGAUUAGAUACCCCUGUAGUC